UCGCUUAGAGAGAUCGAUCCGCUUACGCUCACAUUUUCUCCAACGAUCUUUGCAGUUAAGAAGAAUUUGGAUCUCGCACAGGAUUGUAAGACAUUGAUUAUUGAGAAAAAUAUGGUUCACCACUCUAGCUUUGUGGAUGAGGAAGGAAUAAACAAGGCUUGUGGAUGCCCUUUAUAUCCUUUGAAAAGUCAUGGUCCUGCCCCAGAUUUAGAUCAAGAUAAGACUGAUAUUGUAGAUGAAGCGAUUUCAUUCUUUCGUGCUAAUGUCUUCUUUAGAAAUUUUGAUAUUAAGAGUCCUGCUGAUAAGCUUCUCAUCUACUUAACAUUCCACAUCAAUGUGGCUUUGAAGAGGCUUGAAGGUUGCAGAACUUUGACUGUUGGAAGCAAGGCUAUAAUUAACUUGGGUUUGGAGAAUGUCCCCGUGCCCGGAGAGCAUGGCUUUCCCUUUCCUGGUCUCUUCCCUAUUCCCAAAUCUAAUGGGGAAGCAGAGCUAUUCAGAGAUUAUUUGAAGGAGAUAAGAGAAGAAACAAGUGGGAGACUCUUGAGUGUUGCCUAUAGAGCAAAUGGAACUCCAAAUAAAUGGUGGUUAGCAUUUGCAAAGAGGAAGUUUAUGAACAUCGUCACUCCUUGAUUAAAUUGCUUCCAAGACGUUGAUUUGAAAGUUAUAAAUAAGCACCACAUGAGGCUUCUACAAUGAUGUGGUUUCUUUCAAUGGCACUUCAGGAGUUUUUGUAUCACGUGUGCAUAGAGUGCCGGUUUAGAAUGACUUUCAAAGUGCUUCAAAAUACGUUCGAAGUCAUUCCAAAGUGGUUCACAUGAUGGAGGGACCUCAAGUUUGAAGCAGCUAGAGCUUAGGGAGAGAAGGAAGGAAGGAAGGAAGGCAUAUUCAAAGUUCAUUCAGGCUUUGCUUCUAUGAGUAUGUCUCUGUAUUGUCUGAUAAAGUCAUUAAGCAUUUCAUUUAUUGUCGUCCACAGAAGCAGACAGCAAGUACAAAAUCAUGAACCAUUGGGCAGAAUCAUGGUAGAUGCUUCCUCCCCCUCUAUGAUUGGUCAUUUUCUUUAUAUAUAUAUAUAUAUCUAAAG